UUGUGGAACUGCAGUGUCCAUAACUAAUUUCCUGUAUGUUCCCAUAUAACAUACAUAAUACUUGAUUGAAGUUAUGAAUGAAUUAUUAUUAUUAAGUCUAUUUAUCUCAUUAAAACAUAUUUCCAACAGAUUCCUUUCACAAGAUUCAAGUUCACGGUCAAAAACCACAGAUGAGUCUUCAGCAUUUUGAGGGUGAACACGUUCUCUUUACUUGCUCUCUGCCUGGAUCUGCUUAUAAUGAUACGAGAUGUAACCUGUACUUUGGAGAAGAAAGUGAUCCAGGUGUAACAACAACCAUCUGGAAGAAAAGAAGCUCAACCAAUCAGUGGUUCUGCCAGUUUACCGUCAAAAUUGAUGAUUUGCUGAGACGUCUAAGUUUAAAUCAACAGAGUGAUGCCAGCUGUGAUUACAGUUUGGGAAAUGAAUCCAGCUCUUUGUCUCCUCGUAGUGAUCGAGGCAACUUAACCUACAUUGUGGAAAAAGAAUCAAACUCGGGUCUCACACGAUCAGCAGUUAUUGUGACCACAGGUCUGACUGUUAGCCGGCCUCAUGCUUCCACUCCUGUAACUCCUGCAACACAAACAUCACCUAACAGAAUUAUAGGUCUGACUGUUGGACCAAGUAACACUGAUAGUUUUAUCUCUUCUUCCCUAAUACCAGUGAAACCAGCAUCAGUCACAACUCUCAUGAAUCUGGCAUCAGGCAAUAUUACAGCUCUGACACUAAAUACCGCUAGCACUAAAGCUAGCUUGUUCCCUGAGACGUCACUAAUCCUAGCAUCAGAAACAUGGAUUCGGAAGUCGGUAAUAGUUGUGGCUGGUUUUGGAGUAACUGUGGGUGUUAUCUUACUGGGACUGGCACUUUUCUGUACCAAAAGAAGAACUGAAGGAUGUUCUUACAAGAGGACACAAACCAAUGUCACAGAUGACUUUAUGUACAUGAUAAAUCUUGACUAUGAGGGAUUGUUCUCUGCAGAUAUUGAUAAAGCCUUUGAUGUGAUCACCUCAUUACCUGGUGUUGAAUGUCCUACUGGUUCUGACAAACUAGACAGGCGAGAGCCUCAAACUGAGGACUCUGACAUAUACCAUGUGUACUGCACUAUCCCUGACGACCAACCUCCAUCAGCCCCGAAUGACAUGGUGUACAGCACAGUGCAGACUCACUGAAAAUGUUUUAUACCUAAAAGGAAUGUAGAUAUCUUGUUUAACAUUUGCAUCAAAUAACUAUUUGCAUAUUCUAACUACGUCAUUCAAUAGCCACAGUACUCUAUAUUAGGUGUUGAAGUGAAACAAUUAUAGUAAACAUAUCUACAAACUGUUUGUCCUCAACACAAAUGUUCAUACAUUUAUUUGCAAAAUAUUCUCUGUAAAUGUUUUUUCUAAAAUAUUUGUUCCUGGCAACCUAACACACUCUGGUUAAAUGCCUCCACCAACCAGUCAAGUUGCAGUUUACAUCCAUGUCUGUCCAGACUCAUAGAAUCAUGUGGUGAUCACUUAAAGAAUUAUAUAUAUAUGAUUAUAUAUACAUAUAUAUAUGUUUAAUUGUAUAUAUGUGUAGAAAAUUACAAAGUUUAUUGUUUCAGCUAAAUUAAAGGUAUCACUUUACUGGUGGUGUGAAUGAUUUCAGUGAAUAUACAUGUUUGAACUGAUGAAGGAUUAUUAUAGAUUUAUUGGCUAAACAGGUACACAUGCAAUUGAUCACAUGUAAUUGAUUAAAAAUGGAGUAUAGAUAUACAGAAUGUGGUGCUUUUGUUUUAUUCUUUCCAUUUUUGGAUUAGAAGCUUCUCUCUGAGCUGUAGGUGAAACUCACUCACUCACAGGAUCACCAUUAGUCAUUCUGAUGACGCUCUAAAUCCAGAAUGAGGCAAAUUAUGGCUAAAAAUCUAUGUUGAGGUCACAAUAACCUUGACCUUUGACCGCCAAAAUGGAAUCAUUUCUUCUUUGAGUCUAAGUGGAUGUUUGUGAUGAAUUUGAAGAAAUUCCUUCAUGGCGUUCCUGAGAUGUUGAGUUUACAAGAAUGGGACAACCUGAAAACAUCUUGGCUGUUGCCGGUGUGGAGGCAUAAAAAGUCAAAGUUCACUUGGAAUCACUGGACUUGAUAAAUAAAUGUAUAAAAGUACUUGAUUGAUAAAGUACUCAGAAGUGCAACUUACUUUCCAUUUAAAUAUUUUUUAGGGUGUGAUUACAACAGCAAUUAUGGAAGUAAUAUUGAUGUUGAAGUUAAUUUAAAAGCCUGACAGACC
rnacentral:lncRNA from 15 species